rnacentral:rRNA from 1 species
GACGAACGUUGGCGGCGUGCUUAACACAUGCAAGUCGAACGGAAAGGCCCUGCUUUUGUGGGGUGCUCGAGUGGCGAACGGGUGAGUAACACGUGAGUAACCUGCCCUUGACUUUGGGAUAACUUCAGGAAACUGGGGCUAAUACCGGAUAGGAGCUCCUGCUGCAUGGUGGGGGUUGGAAAGUUUCGGCGGUUGGGGAUGGACUCGCGGCUUAUCAGCUUGUUGGUGGGGUAGUGGCUUACCAAGGCUUUGACGGGUAGCCGGCCUGAGAGGGUGACCGGCCACAUUGGGACUGAGAUACGGCCCAGACUCCUACGGGAGGCAGCAGUGGGGAAUAUUGCACAAUGGGCGGAAGCCUGAUGCAGCAACGCCGCGUGCGGGAUGACGGCCUUCGGGUUGUAAACCGCUUUCGCCUGUGACGAAGCGUGAGUGACGGUAAUGGGUAAAGAAGCACCGGCUAACUACGUGCCAGCAGCCGCGGUGAUACGUAGGGUGCGAGCGUUGUCCGGAUUUAUUGGGCGUAAAGGGCUCGUAGGUGGUUGAUCGCGUCGGAAGUGUAAUCUUGGGGCUUAACCCUGAGCGUGCUUUCGAUACGGGUUGACUUGAGGAAGGUAGGGGAGAAUGGAAUUCCUGGUGGAGCGGUGGAAUGCGCAGAUAUCAGGAGGAACACCAGUGGCGAAGGCGGUUCUCUGGGCCUUUCCUGACGCUGAGGAGCGAAAGCGUGGGGAGCGAACAGGCUUAGAUACCCUGGUAGUCCACGCUGUAAACGGUGGGUACUAGGUGUGGGGUCCAUUCCACGGGUUCCGUGCCGUAGCUAACGCUUUAAGUACCCCGCCUGGGGAGUACGGCCGCAAGGCUAAAACUCAAAGGAAUUGACGGGGCCCCGCACAAGCGGCGGAGCAUGCGGAUUAAUUCGAUGCAACGCGUAGAACCUUACCUGGGUUUGACAUGGAUCGGGAGCGCUCAGAGAUGGGUGUGCCUCUUUUGGGGUCGGUUCACAGGUGGUGCAUGCCUGUCGUCAGCUCGUGUCGUGAGAUGUUGGGUUAAGUCCCGCAACGAGCGCAACCCUUGUUCACUGUUGCCAGCACGUUAUGGUGGGGACUCAGUGGAGACCGCCGGGGUCAACUCGGAGGAAGGUGGGGAUGACGUCUAGUCCUCAUGCCCCUUAUGUCCAGGGCUUCACGCAUGCUACAAUGGCUGGUACAGAGAGUGGCGAGCCUGUGAGGGUGAGCGAAUCUCGGAAAGCCGGUCUCAGUUCGGAUUGGGGUCUGCAACUCGACCUCAUGAAGUCGGAGUCGCUAGUAAUCGCAGAUCAGCAACGCUGCGGUGAAUACGUUCCCGGG